rnacentral:rRNA from 1 species
UACAGAGGUCCCAAGCGUUGUUCGGAUUCACUGGGCGUAAAGCGUGCGCAGGCGGUUCGUUGUGUCGGCGGUGAAAGCCCCGGGCUCAACCUGGGAAUGGCCGUUGAAACUGGCGAACUGGAGUGUGGCAGAGGGGGGUGGAAUUCCGCGUGUAGCAGUGAAAUGCGUAGAGAUGCGGAGGAACACCGAUGGCGAAAGCAGCCCCCUGGGCUAACACUGACGCUCAGGCACGAAAGCGUGGGGAGCAAACAGG